rnacentral:rRNA from 1 species
AGGCCUAACACAUGCAAGUCGAGCGCUCCUCUUCGGAGGGGAGCGGCGAACGGGUGAGUAACGCGUGGGAACGUACCUUUUGGUUCGGGACAACCCUGGGAAACUGGGGCUAAUACCGGAUACGCUCUACGGAGGAAAGAUUUAUCGCCGAGAGAUCGGCCCGCGUUGGAUUAGCUUGUUGGUGAGGUAAUGGCUCACCAAGGCUACGAUCUAUAGCUGGUCUGGGAGGAUGAUCAGCCACACUGGGACUGAGACACGGCCCAGACUCCUACGGGAGGCAGCAGUGGGGAAUCUUGGACAAUGGGGGCAACCCUGAUCCAGCCAUGCCGCGUGAGUGAAGAAGGCCUUAGGGUUGUAAAGCUCUUUCAGCAGGGACGGAUA